CUUUCGGCACGUGAGGGAGAGGGCGCGUGCUUACAAAUUUUCCUUUCCUAUUAAACAUACUACUUUCCAUAUUAAAUAUUAUAGUUUAUUUACAUUUUAGAGUACAUGAGGAUUAAAUGGAAACAUCAUUUGACUUGUUUGGACGAAGUUUAGCAGAAGCUUUUUGGACUCCUUUGUCUGCAUGUUGAACGAGCGGAUUACUGAAAUCGAUGGCGCCAACUAAACUGACUUUGUGGGAUAUAAAGAAGGAUUAUAUCUAACAAAACGACCAUUCAUGUUGUAGCUGGGACCCUUGGGAUUGCAAACAGAGAAAGAUUGUCAAAAUAACGGUGUUCAGAUCCUGCAGCGGGUGAAGACAGCAGGAAUUUAUAGCUGCAAAGCCAUCAAUACUGCAGGAAGUACAGAGAAGAACUUCCUCCUGGAUGUUCUGGUUGAGUGGAGGCAGCACUGACAGGUGUUCCCCCCACCAUCGUAGGGACGGGCUCCCCUCGAGAGGUGUCAGCAGUGCUGAACCAGGAGAUCAGUCUGGACUGUAAGGUCAAAGGAACCCCGUUUCCCACAAUCCAGUGGUACAAAGCCUGGAGGUGAGUUCAAUCUUCCACCAGUUGAAUGUAUUGACCAGUGGCGGUUGGUGGUAUUUGAGAUUAGGAGGACACUUUUUUUU
rnacentral:lncRNA from 1 species